rnacentral:rRNA from 1 species
CGCGACGGGGGGACCCCGAGUGCCGUGGCAACGCCACGGCUUUUCCGGAGUGUAAAAAGCUCCGGGAAUAAGGGCUGGGCAAGGCCGGUGGCAGCCGCCGCGGUAAUACCGGCGGCCCGAGUGGUGGCCGCUAUUAUUGGGCCUAAAGCGUCCGUAGCCGGGCCCGUAAGUCCCUGGCGAAAUCCCACGGCUCAACCGUGGGGCUUGCUGGGGAUACUGCGGGUCUUGGGACCGGGAGAGGCGGGGGGUACCCCUGGGGUAGGGGUGAAAUCCUAUAAUCCCAGGGGGACCGCCAGUGGCGAAGGCGCCCCGCUGGAACGGGUCCGACGGUGAGGGACGAAGGCCAGGGGAGCAAACCGGAUUAGAUACCCGGGUAGUCCUGGCUGUAAAGGAUGCGGGCUAGGUGUCGGGUGAGCCUCGAGCUCGCCCGGUGCCGUAGGGAAGCCGUUAAGCCCGCCGCCUGGGGAGUACGGCCGCAAGGCUGAAACU